UGGGUAACCUGCCCAAGAGAUCGGGAUAACACCUGGAAACAGAUGCUAAUACCGGAUAACAACAGAUGAUGCCUAUCAACUGUUUAAAAGAUGGUUCUGCUAUCACUCUUGGAUGGACCUGCGGUGCAUUAGCUAGUUGGUAGGGUAACGGCCUACCAAGGCGAUGAUGCAUAGCCGAGUUGGGAGACUGAUCGGCCACAUUGGGACUGAGACACGGCCCAAACUCCUACGGGAGGCAGCAGGG
rnacentral:rRNA from 1 species